UUGAAGACAGUCUUCAAUGAUCAGUUUUUGCCUCGAAUUUUAUUUAAUCCAAUGAUUGCUCCGCCAGACAUACGGGGAUGCUGUCAGGAGCACAAAGGCAGCCUCUGCUUGGGACAGUUGGAGAAGACUUCUUAAAAGGUUUUUUGUCUUGACAUCAACCCCCUCCAAGGACAUGCAUUAUUCUGUGACUCCUCAGCCUGACCUGCAUCCCAGAGAUUUCCUCAGAGGGAAAAUCUAGUCCAUCACAUUUGGCAUAGUUACUCCUUCAAGAAUUGUGGAUUGAGCACCAAGAGAAGGCCGUGUGAGGACAUGAAGGCAGCCAUCUGAACACCAGGUGGAAAAUCCUCACCAAAAACCAAGUUGGCC